AAGCGGUGGAGCAUGUGGUUAUCGAAGCAACGCGAAGAACCUUACCAGGCCUUGACAUGCUAGGGAACCCGGGUGAAAGCCUGGGGUGCCCCGCGAGGGGAGCCCUAGCACAGGUGCUGCAUGGCCGUCGUCAGCUCGUGCCGUGAGGUGUUGGGUUAAGUCCCGCAACGAGCGCAACCCUCGCCUCUAGUUGCCAGCAUUCGGUUGGGCACUCUAGAGGGACUGCCGGCGACAAGUCGGAGGAAGGUGGGGAUGACGUCAAAUCAUCAUGCCCCUUAUGACCUGGGCUACACACGUGCUACAAUGGGCGGUACAAAGGGCUGCGAACCCGCGAGGGGGAGCGAAUCCCAAAAAGCCGCUCUCAGUUCGGAUUGCAGGCUGCAACUCGCCUGCAUGAAGCCGGAAUCGCUAGUAAUCGCGGAUCAGCAUGCCGCGGUGAAUACGUUCCCGGGCCUU
rnacentral:rRNA from 1 species